ensembl:lncRNA
CCUGCCUGCCUAUCUGGCUUAAUCAAGGGUCCUUUUGUAUAGGAAAUUGGUGUUUGGGUGUGGUCUGUGCCUUAUCCAAGGUCCAGAAAGGAGCAGCCUGGGAUUCAAGAUAUCAGACCUUCACGCCUAACUUAAAAAGCUUGACUCACCAGGUGUGGUUGAGCACAUUGUUAGUUCCGGCACUCAGACAGAGGAUCUCUGUGUGUUUGAGGAUAUCCUUGUCUACAAGCAAGUUCCAGGCCACUCGGAGCUACAGAGUGAAACCCUGUCUCAUAAAAAGAGAGUUCGUGAACAGAGCCAUGCCUGUGAGAGCCGAAGGACCCAGAUGGGUUUGGUUUUCCAGCUGUAAUUUUAACCCUGGAUCAGAUGGUGUGAACUGUUGUCCCCUUGAAAAUGCCCAGUUGUGUGUGUAUGCAGUUAUCUCAAGAAAAAGAAUGUCUCGCUUCCUCUCACUCUUUUGUCUCUGAUAAGCAUUUCUGAGAUUUUUGAGAACCCAGGAAGAGACACGAAUAAGCAACCAUGAUUUGGGCGUGGCUCCAUGUGCUGCUUGACGGCUCCCCGUCUGCCCUCUGCUGGCCAGUUCAGGUAACGUGGGAAGAAGGCCUGCUGAGCAUCCUUCAUUUUCUGCGCCUAGAUUAGGAGCCUUCUUCACUCUGCUUGUUGCAGCUUUUCUUACUCCUAUGUGUGGCGUUGAAAGAGGAUCACCCGUGUUUUCUAUAAUAUUUCAUGGGAUCAGCUAUAAAAAAUUUAAAAUUCGCCCUAAAUCUCAAGACAAAGAUUGGAACACGGCCUUUUCCUCCUCAGCUAAAACCCAGAGUUACAGGUUGUUCACUGUCUCCUCCUUCAAGCUCCUUAAACCCCAAAGCCACGUCUAUCCGAUUGAAAUUGUACAACCGGCUUGUGGCACAGAACCUGCUUAGAAGCAAGGAAUAAAUGUGUGUUGCGCAGACGGAUUAAAUGAAAGAGCAUUCCCUUGGCCCGAGUCCAUGACAUCCUGGACUCUUCUUCUCUUUAGCAGGUGGCCUGGCUUGCUUUUUCCCCUGUGGACUCACACUCAGUAGUUGCUGCUGUCAGGGUUUCCUUCUUCACUACUGGGUGCCCUCCCCGAUUCUAGCCUCUAAACUGACGGUGAGUAAGCCUGUAAUCCCAGCAGCCUCAGUUUUCUCCUCAGUAGUCCUUGACUCCUUCUGAGAUGGGAUGGGAUUCCAGUCGGCUGAGCAUGGAGUUGUUCACGUGGUGCUUCCAACCCGACUCCUACAAGGCUUCCUUUGUUCUGCCGGGAAAGGCUUCACCACUCUCUCUUCUAAGACGUCUCCCCCUGCUGGCUGCAAGCAGACUGUCAGUGCCAGAUUCGAACGCCCUAGAAUUUCAAGUGGCAGUUUGCAAGCCCCCGAGCCUGUGUGUCAGAUGUCACUGUGUGUCAGAUGGACUCCAGCCGAUCUCAGGAGUGAGAUAUUGAGGAUAUAUUUUCUUUUCUCCUCCUCAAUUUUUCUUUCUCCCUUUUCUGAGGCAUGCUCUUUUAGCCCAGACCGGCCUCCUGCCUCCACUGUGAGUCCUAGGUUUACAUUCAUGUGCCGCCGUGUCCAGUUUUCUGGUGAGGAGGACUGACCCCAGGGCUUUGUGGGUGAUACCUAAGCACCCUGCCAACUGAGUUACAUCCCCACCCGGCUUUGGCGGAUUCAUUCUGUGGUUCCAAAUGCUCUUGAGAAGACUUUGAAGAUACGGCUUUAUUCUGUAUUUAAAUAAAAAAAAA